UACGGAGGAUGCGAGCGUUAUCCGGAUUUAUUGGGUUUAAAGGGUGCGUAGGCGGGCCUUCAGGCCGGCGGUAAAAUUGCGGGGCUCAACCCCGCCGAGCCGUCGGAACCGGGGGCCUUGAGUACCGGAGAAGUACGCGGAAUGCGUGGUGUAGCGGUGAAAUGCAUAGAUAUCACGCAGAACCCCGAUUGCGAAGGCAGCGUACCGGCCGGUCACUGACGCUGAGGCACGAAAGCGCGGGUAUCGAACAG
rnacentral:rRNA from 1 species